rnacentral:ncRNA from 1 species
UAAAAAUUUAUGAUUUUAAAAAUUUAUUUAUUAUUUAUUUUACAUGUAAAUUUUAGUAUGAAUUUUAUAUUAUUUUAAUAAUAAUAAUUUAUUUUACAGUAAUUAAUAUUAAAAAUUUAAGAAAUUAAGAUUUAGUAAUAUUAUAAUUAUUAACUAAUUUUGUGCCAGCAGUUGCGGUUAUACAAAAAUUAAGAUAAAUUUUUUUAGUUAUAAUAAAUAUAAUAAUUUUUGAAUUAAAUAUUAAAUUAUUAAGUGAAAUUUUAAUUUAAUGAAAUUUUAUAUAAAAAAUAUGAUUUAAUAAAUUUAUUAAAAAACUAGGAUUAGAUACCCUAUUAUUUAAAAUUUAAAUUAAAAUACUAAAAUAGUAAAUAAAUAUUAUUGAAACUUAAAUAAUUUGGCGGUAUUUUAGUUCAUUUAGAGGAAUCUGUUUAUUAAUUGAUAAUCCACGAAUAAAUUUACUUAAUUUAUUAUUUUAUAUAUCGUUGUUAAAAAAAUAUUUUUAAAUAAAAAUAAUAUUUUAAAAUUAAAAAUAAAAAUUAGUUCAGAUCAAGAUGUAGAUUAUAAUUAAGAAUUUAAUGGAUUACAAUAAAUAUAUUUAAAUGGAUUUUUUUUUGAAAAAAUUAAAUGAAAGUGGAUUUAAAUGUAAUUUUAUUUAAUUUAAUAAAAUGAUUUAAAAUUAAAAUAUGUACAUAUUGCCCGUCACUUUCAUUUUAAAAUUGGAAUAAGUCGUAACAAAGUAGAGGUACUGGAAAGUGUUUCUAGAAAGAC